GUUUUUUAACACUCGUGGCUUUGUUCCUUCACGCAGUGACUGUUGUUUGGCCUCCACUGAAUCUGUCAACAAGACUGAAUCUUCACAUCUCGUAAUGGAAGUAAACAAAUUUCAAAAUCUACUCGGGUUCAAGUCAAUGGCUGAGGACCCCACCCAAUCAAUCGAGAGACGGGAUUGGGCCCAGGAACAGAUCGGUGGAUGGGACACGGCCCACACCGAGGGACCCAGAGCCGUCUGCCGGCCCCGCUGAGACGGCAUGACAAAGGAGUACCCAGAGCCGGCUGAAGUGACCCAAUGCCAUGAGUUGGGAAAGUCCUGCCCCCACAGAUGCCAGAUCCCUGACCAGCAGUCUUUGGCCCUACCCCGUGUGUCAGCGCGCCACCGAGUGGUGUGGUGCUUUAAAGUCUGGAGAGGCCUGUGUGCUGUGGGGGGCUGCCAAGCACUGUUCCCUGACAGCCAAAUGCCCCUCACCCGACCCCAGUGUCAUGAGCAGGGCUGGAGCACUGCCAGGAGGGGCGUGGCCUGGUCACCGCUCUGGGCGGUGCCGCCUCUGGCCCAUUCCGCACGUUAAUUGGCCAUGUAUUUAUGUUGGAGUUUUCGUCACGGGCAUUUGCCAGUUCAUUGACUUUGCACCGGGUCACCGGGUGCGGACACUGCUUCUGAAAUAAAACCCAUUGGACAUUAUGCCUUUGCCUCGGAGUCCUGCAUUUGGUUCCUCCCUUGCACCGAUGCCUCAUGACACUCAGUUUUAUUCCACACCUUCUCCUAAGUGACAAUAAAACGUAGCAAGAAAUACUGUAAUGCUGCACAUGCAACAUUAGCGGUGCUCAUAUAGCGAUCGUCCUCGUCAUCAUCGUGUAAUGCUGACAACGUUGCAGAAUGAUGUCUUUUCCAGGGCGCAGCUGAAUCACGUCUCCUCGAAAGCUUCGCUAGCUGAAAUACAAGCUGAUGUUACAUUGGUCAUGAAACCUGCUUCAUGUAAUCGCUCCUCUAAUCGAUCAAGCAGAGCAUUUGUUGAAAACACUAGUCCAAAAAAAAAAGUACUGCGCUGACAUCAGCCAUUGUGCAGAGUGACAAAAGCCAACGACUGCAAAGCGAUGAUGAAACGUCGCAGCAGGAUAAUGUUGCUUAUUAUUAGAAUGGUAAGAAAAACAAGUAGUUAAAACGCUGAAAAGCCUUCCACUGUUCCAUUGUUAAAGUGAAUUUCAUACGAAUUGUCUUCUGCUUUGUUUUUCUUUCCGCUUCAGAAAAUGAGAAUGACAGAUUCUUCAUUAGAAAAACUAGUGAUUGUCUACUUGAGUGUCAGACCUUCUAUGGAUGAACAUUUGGGAUCUAAAAACUACAAGCAUGUCUAACUGAUGCGUCUUUCCACCGGAAUUCACCCUUAAGUAUUACAUUUUGUCACUCUCCUGACUUUCCGCUUCUACAUUUCUUUGGUUUUGCUGUAGGAAAGAGUGUUAAAAUAGCUCCGAAACUGUUAUGAGACAACAUUUUCCACAUUUUACAGAAUCAACAGGGACACUUUUAACACUUGAAUUCAGAAACAGCACCUGGCAUAAAUGAUUUCUCGAGGGAAGCACUGUCUGCAAAAUGGAGGGGGGGGGGAAAAAACCAGUGAGUCAAUGUCUUCUGUGAAGCGGCUCCACUAUGUAGCAUGAAACCACAAAUAAAGAUAUUGGCCAGUGUUCUGACCCCAUCA